GGUUCAGGAUGAACGCUAGCUACAGGCUUAACACAUGCAAGUCGAGGGGCAGCAUGUUGGUUGCUUGCAACCAAUGAUGGCGACCGGCGCACGGGUGAGUAACGCGUAUCCAACCUUCCCCUUAGUAGAGGAUAGCCCGGCGAAAGUCGGAUUAAUACUCUAUGUUCUUCAAUGCGGGCAUCUAAGUUGAAGCAAAGAUUUAUCGCUAAGGGAUGGGGAUGCGUCUGAUUAGGUUGCAGGCGGGGUAACGGCCCACCUGGCCUACGAUCAGUAGGGGUUCUGAGAGGAAGGUCCCCCACACUGGUACUGAGACACGGACCAGACUCCUACGGGAGGCAGCAGUGAGGAAUAUUGGUCAAUGGGCGCGAGCCUGAACCAGCCAAGUAGCGUGCAGGACGACUGCCCUAUGGGUUGUAAACUGCUUUUAUCAGGGAAUAAAGUGAGGCACGCGUGCCUUUUUGUAUGUACCUGAUGAAUAAGGACCGGCUAAUUCCGUGCCAGCCGCGGC
rnacentral:rRNA from 1 species